AGAAAUAGAUAGUUUAAUGGUAGAACACCAGAUUAUUCUGGAGGUAUGGGUUCAAAUCCUGUAAUAUUUCUU
rnacentral:tRNA from 1 species